ACGAAAGGGCACUCUAGAGAGACUGCCGGUGACAAACCGGAGGAAGGUGGGGAUGACGUCAAGUCCUCAUGGCCCUUAUGGGUAGGGCUUCACACGUCAUACAAUGGUGCAUACAGAGGGUUGCCAAGCCGCGAGGUGGAGCUAAUCCCAGAAAAUGCAUCGUAGUCCGGAUCGUAGUCUGCAACUCGACUACGUGAAGCUGGAAUCGCUAGUAAUCGCGGAUCAGCAUGCCGCGGUGAAUACGUUCCCGGGUCUUGUACACACCGCCCGUCACACCAUGGGAGUGGGCUUUACCAGAAGUAGUUAGCCUAACCGCAAGGAGGGCGAUUAC
rnacentral:rRNA from 1 species